UACGAAGGGGGCUAGCGUUGCUCGGAAUCACUGGGCGUAAAGCGCACGUAGGCGGAUUGUUAAGUCAGGGGUGAAAUCCUGGAGCUCAACUCCAGAACUGCCUUUGAUACUGGCGAUCUUGAGUCCGGGAGAGGUGAGUGGAACUGCGAGUGUAGAGGUGAAAUUCGUAGAUAUUCGCAAGAACACCAGUGGCGAAGGCGGCUCACUGGCCCGACACUGACGCUGAGGCACGAAAGCGUGGGGAGCAAACGGG
rnacentral:rRNA from 1 species